CUAUUCAUUUACACACAACACUACACUAGCCUGCAAGAUUGACAUUGCCUGAAACUCUGUGAGCAUUAAUCGCAGAUCUGCUGACAUUCCCUUCCAGCCACGGGGAGGCCAUUUGAAUUUCGGUUCCAGGAAGAAAGAUGGGACACAAUUGAUUUUCAUAAAAGUUAUAUGUUCAACUCCAACUCCGAUUCCUCGAGCGACUUUCUCCUUGGUGUCUCCAUCCGCAUCCACAGGACUGGUAAACUCGUCAAAGGGACUGUUUGAGAGUGGCAGCUGAGCUAGCCUUUUGGCCAAACGUCUCAGGAUUAGAGGAUGGUUAAAUAUGUCAUCAGACAAUUUUAAAGAAAAUGACUGAUUGUCAAAUUGUCCUUCAACAGUAGAAGAUCCAUGUUUAAUGGAAAUAUAAGAGACCGACAGGGUGCUGAAAGUGUUCUUUGACCCUGAAGAAAUAGUUUGCCAAAAGCUGUGGUCUGUUGAACGUGAUUGUCCAUAAACCCUAACGAAAUCAUCCUGGAAAAUUGCUAGGCAAGCCAUCUCCCUGACAUGGAAGGCCGUCUCCGGAACCUUCGCAUCUGGGUGAACCGUAAGGAUGUGGCGUUUCAUAUCAGCUGCGCGUUUAAUGGUUACAUGGCAAAAUGGACACUCCACUCCCAAGCGCUGAUGUACAGUCUCGACAUGUCUCUCAAAUUGACGUUGAGUUGCCAAUGUGGCAUGGCACAACCAACAAUUUUGGUGUUUCAUUCUGUAAAUUUACAAAAAGGUAUCAACGAAAAGUGUCCACCACCCUAAUAAAAAGGCAACACAAGUACUCAAAGGUCAAUUUCGAACAGACUCCAAUACGUCGAAUCGGGUUAUACAACCAAACAGCUUGGCCGACCGAAAAAGACCUCUUUUUCGCCUUGAUGUCAUAAUGACGCUUCUGAUAUGCUGUGUUCUUACGAAGAGACUUCCUCGCAAUUGUAUGACAGCUCACCAGGACCGUCUGUAACUGGCUACAAUAUGACACUGGAUCACGUGCCUCAAUUGAAGAAUUUGGUGACCCGAUAAAUGCCUCUACUGGUAGGGUUACAUCACGCCCAAACACCAUCUUGUUGGGAGUUACACCAGUACUGCUGUGCACGGAAGCACGAUAAGCCAUGGUUAGCUGUGGAAGGUACUCAUCCCAUCUCUGUUGGUCAUCUUCACAAUAAAUGGCCAACAUGGAUUGAAGAGUUCUGUUGAAUCGUUCUGGACAACCAUUACUUUGGGGUCGAAGCGAACUUGUUGUUACUUUGUCGAUGUGAAGAAAAUCACAAAUAUCUUGAAAAAGCUGUGAAGUGAAAUUUGUCCCUUUAUCACUUAAAAUUUGUUGAGGACAACCAAACCGACAAAUGAAAUUAUUUACUAAAACAUCAGCAAUAGUUUUUGCUUCUUGGUUAGGCAGGGGAUAAGCCUCAGUCCAUUUUGUAAAAUUGUCCACUACUACUAAAAUAUAUUUGUUGCCUUUCAGUGUUGUACUUAAAGGACCUAACACGUCAAUGGAAAUUCUCUCCAUUGGUUCACCAUUGAUAUAAUUUCUCAUUGGGGCUGUAUUAGACUUACGACAUGAACAUUUAUCGCAUUUAGUGAUAUACUUAUAAACAUCCUCUUUUAUACCUGGCCAAUAGAACGAUUGUUUAAGCCUAUGUAAGGACUUUUCUAAACCCAAGUGUCCAGCAGACGGAAUGUCAUGCGAAUACUUAAUAAUUUCAUCUCGUUUCGUUAACGGUACAAUAAGUAAAUUUUGUUCGAAGCCAGUUUCCGUGUCUAUGAAAAUACAAUACAAUAUUUGGUUAAUUACUUUAAGUCUAUCCCACAUGCGCCAAAGUGUUUUAAGAAAAGAAGUACCAUCUGAUAUUUGAUCCCAUGAAGGCCUAUCUAAUUGGUUUGUCUUAGCAUUAAGAAUAGGACUAAUAUUUGGGUCAUUUAAUUGGGCAACUAAAAGGUCAUCAGGGGUCCAGCCAUUUAUAACUAUUUGUGCGUCUUGUUGUAUUGCUCGUAUAGUUACACUGUUAUUUUGGUUUAUGAUUAAAUUAUUAUCACAAUCA